UUUUUUUUUCUUUUUUUUUUUUCUAAAGAAACACAUGUCUAGCAAAGGAAUUGUGUUUUCGAUUUUCAGAAAUUGCGGAAACGGCAUGAAGACGUGUCGAAACUGUUCUCAUGUUUUCCACAAAGAAACAUUUCCGAAAUGGGGAAACGCAGCCCCCAUCGCAUUUUCAUGCUUCGCAGACAUUAGGGAGUGUUUGGUUCACCUGUUGAGUGCAGCUAAUAGCUGAUACACCCAAAUAAGUGAACUAGAAUAUUUGACAAGCUUAAAAAAAUAAAACUGAUAACUGAUGGACAACUGAUAUGAUACCCAUCAGCU
rnacentral:misc_RNA from 1 species